GAAAAGCAGUAGGCGAGGCGAGCAGUAUGUCCGAAUACGUAAGCCGUUUCUCAAUGUCAAGGAUACUUCCUUGGCAGGACUAGUCCUUAAAAGUCUUCCUUCCUUCAGAGGCUAGGCGAGGCUCCUUUUAAGCAUUCGGAGAACAAGUUAAAUGGAACAGGCUAGCAAGUGCACGUCAUUGCGUGAUUGAAAGGUGUGCUUUCGGUGCUGCGCGCAUAGGAUUGUGUGUGAUUUCAGCGCGUGAAGAGCGCGAAGGAUACAAAUUUGCAUCCUUUCCUGUAUAUGGGAUAUUUCUCAAACGAAGGACUCAGUCCUUGGCUGAAAUUUCGAGGAUCCUCGACAUUGGAACAGUCCUUCGAAUGCCAGAGCACCGUGGAGCAUUUUCCUGUUCUAAUCGGCAGACCAUCGCAAAUAGAGCCCGGAGGAUUAUUUUCACAAGUACUUUUUACAUUGCGUCAUUCGUAUAAAGGACCAACAUGGACCAGUAUUUAUUUCAUGCUGCCCUUCGGCAGUACCUACUAAGUGGGAUGUCGAUGUCGCGGUUGACUGGAAGAGAGUCAUGCAGGUGGCCAACCACUUCGUUGUAGAUGCAUAGUUGAAGCAGACCUGUCAGAAAACAUCUCUAAGGUGCUAUGAAUCCUAUGACUAGAUACGCAUCCUAAAAUUACUAGAGGUUACGGAAGCUCCUUUUUGGAUCCAGCUUCAUUUGUGAAGACUUCAGAUGAUGCCAACACUCCCAGAGACUUAAGACGAUGGCAACAAUAGAUGAAGCAACACUCACAAAGACUUUAGAUGAUGGCAACUAUAGAUGGACAUACAAAAUUGCCAAAUAUAAUAUUGUAAUUACUGCCCCAAAGCGCAAGUUUGCAGAUUUUUAACCCACUUUAUAUUGUUACAAAUACAAUAGAUGCUAACAUUUGACCAGAAAAUGUUUCCUCUUUAUUCUUGAGUUAAUUGUGCUGAUUUAUUCCCAUUUUUUUAUCUACAAUACUUUGCCAAAAUGAUGUUUUGCAUCAUCCAAAUGGUUCAUUUACAAAUUACAGACAUCGUAACAACACAAAGUGGGUUAUAAUUCUGCCAACUUACCCUAUAAUAAUAAUAAUUGUCUUUUAACUGAACAUGACUUUAAAGACAUGACUUGUAUUAUCUUAGAGCUAUUGUGAAAUUAAUAUUGGUUAUGUUUCCAGAAUAUUCUCCUCAGUGAGUCACUGUUACCUCGGACUGAUUAAGGGAUUUUUUGUAACCUUGAAACAUGCAUUGGUUUUACUAUGGUCAAACUGCAGAUCUUAUUUCAAACCAAGGUUUUGUUACCAUGGUUCUACUACAGUAACAUUAUAGUAAUGCUGGAGUGAAACUGUGGUAACCAUAUUAUUUUAAAUCAUGGUAAAGUUUGUGGUUACUAAAAUGCACUACUAUAUGCUGGUUUAAGAGCAUGAUUAUUUUUUAUUUAUUAAUAAACCAUGGUUGACUUUAUAUUUACCGUGGUUUUACUGCAAAUUAUGGUAAAAAAAUUAUAGAUAACUUUUGCAUGGGUACAGAAAAAAAGUGUAAACUGAAUGUUUCUAUUUGUAAGUCACGUUGGUUAAAUGCAUCUGAAAAAUGUAAAUGGAUUUGUAUAUUUAUUCUGUUUACUGAAAAUAAUAAAUUUGCAGUUGCUAUUGUAUAUUGUUUAUUAUUGUGUUGAAAGACAUUUUGGUUAGAGUGAUUAAACGAUUAUAAACCAUGAGCCG